rnacentral:rRNA from 1 species
AACGAACGCUGGCGGCAGGCCUAGCACAUGCAAGUCGAGCGGAUGACGGGAGCUUGCUCCUUGAUUCAGCGGCGGACGGGUGAGUAAUGCCUAGGAAUCUGCCUGGUAGUGGGGGACAACGUUUCGAAAGGAACGCUAAUACCGCAUACGUCCUACGGGAGAAAGCAGGGGACCUUCGGGCCUUGCGCUAUCAGAUGAGCCUAGGUCGGAUUAGCGAGUUGGUGGGGUAAUGGCUCACCAAGGCGACGAUCCGUAACUGGGCUGAGAGGAUGAUCAAUCACACUGGAACUGAGACACGGUCCAGACUCCUACGGGAGGCAGCAGUGGGGAAUAUUGGACAAUGGGCGAAAGCCUGAUCCAGCCAUGCCGCGUGUGUGAAGAAGGUCUUCGGAUUGUAAAGCACUUUAAGUUGGGAGGAAGGGCAGUAAGCUAAUACCUUGCUGUUUUGACGUUACCGACAGAAUAAGCACCGGCUAACUCUGUGCCAGCCGCCGCCGUAACAC